rnacentral:rRNA from 1 species
UCCUACGGGAGGCUGCAGUAGGGAAUAUUGGACAAUGGGUGAGAGCCUGAUCCAGCCAUGCCGCGUGCAGGAAGAAGGCGUUAUGCGUUGUAAACUGCUUUUGCCAGGGGAUAAAAAAGGCGUGCGCGCUUAAUUGAAGGUACCUGGUGAAUAAGCCACGGCUAACUACGUGCCAGCAGCCGCGGUAAUACGUAGGUGGCAAGCGUUGUCCGGAUUUAUUGGGUUUAAAGGGUGCGUAGGUGGCCCUGUAAGUCAGUGGUGAAAUAUCUCAGCUUAACUGAGAGGGUGCCAUUGAUACUGCAGGGCUUGAGUACAGAUGAGGUAGGCGGAAUUGACGGUGUAGCGGUGAAAUGCAUAGAUAUCGUCAAGAACACCGAUAGCGAAGGCAGCUUACCAAGCUGUAACUGACACUGAGGCACGAAAGUGUGGGGAUCAAACAGGAUUAGAUACCCGGGUAGUCGC